rnacentral:lncRNA from 1 species
CCGCUCCGGCGGCAGCGGCCGCUCCCGGAGCUCCGGAGCCGCGGGAUGGCCGGGGAUGGAGCCGGGAUCCCGGGGCAGCCAGCCCUGGACAGCCGGACCCCGGCCAGGCUCCCUCGCUGACGGGGCUGUGUGGGCACAGCCUGGCCCUGCUCCUGUCCCCACGCAGCUGCAGCCAGGAGCUCCGGGCUCCCCCAGGAGCCGAUCCCGAGGGGUUGGCCAUGGAAUAGGCGCUUUUCCAGGUGCCUGGGCACAGCGGGAGGCUGAAGUUGGUUGCCCCGGGGCACUGGAACUCGCCCUGCCCUGGAGCCCCUGGCCUCUGCCAUGAAUGAUGCAUCCACCAUGGAUUAUGAACUGCUCUCCCCAUCCCUGGUGGAGCACCCCGCCGGCGCCGCGGGCAUGGAUGCCGAGCAGAAAACUGUCUUCGCCUUCGUCAUCUUCCUCCUGGUGUUCUUGGUGAUGCUGAUGGUGCGCUGCUUCCGCAUCCUGCUGGACCCCUACAGCCGCAUGCCCGCCUCCUCCUGGACGGACCACAAGGAGGGCUUGGAGAGGGGCCAGUUCGACUACGCCCUGGUGUGAGGGCAGCCCGGGGCGAGCUCCGGGGGUCGCCCCCGCUGGCCCCGGCCCCGGCUCCCCCUUCCUCCGCGGUGCUGCCCCGCAGGGAUGCUCCGGGCAGGGGGGCGAGCAGGGGGGCUCUGGCCCCGGGGAGGUUUUCUAGGGGUUUC